GAGGGCAAGUCUGGUGCCAGCAGCCGCGGUAAUUCCAGCUCCAAUAGCGUAUAUUAAAAUUGUUGCAGUUAAAAAGCUCGUAGUUGAAUUUCUGCUGCAUCGCCUUUUCUCCUUUACGAGUUUUGGCAUUGUGGCUUAUUUCGGAUUUGCUUGCAUUUCCGAAUGUUUACUUUGAGAAAAUUAGAGUGCUCAAAGCAGGCUUUUGCCUUGAAUAGUUUAGCAUGGAAUAAUAAAGUAGGACUUUGGUUCUAUUUUGUUGGUUUUAGGUACCAAAGUAAUGGUUAACAGGAACAGUUGGGGGCAUUCGUAUUUAACUGUCAGAGGUGAAAUUCUUAGAUUUGUUAAAGACGAACUACUGCGAAAGCAUUUGCCAAGGAUGUUUUCAUUAAUCAAGAACGAAAGUUAGGGGAUCGAAGACGAUCAGAUACCGUCGUAGUCCUAACCAUAAACUAUGCCGACUAGAGAUUGGAGGUCGUCAGUUUUUACGACUCCUUCAGCACCUUGAGAG
rnacentral:rRNA from 1 species